AUUGAACGCUGGCGGCAGGCCUAACACAUGCAAGUCGAACGGUAACAGAAAGCAGCUUGCUGCUUUGCUGACGAGUGGCGGACGGGUGAGUAAUGUCUGGGAAACUGCCUGAUGGAGGGGGAUAACUACUCGAAACGGUAGCUAAUACCGCAUAACGUCGCAAGACCAAAGAGGGGGACCUUCGGGCCUCUUGCCAUCGGAUGUGCCCAGAUGGGAUUAGCUAGUAGGUGGGGUAAAGGCUCACCUAGGCGACGAUCCCUAGCUGGUCUGAGAGGAUGACCAGCCACACUGGAACUGAGACACGGUCCAGACUCCUACGGGAGGCAGCAGUGGGGAAUAUUGCACAAUGGGCGCAAGCCUGAUGCAGCCAUGCCGCGUGUAUGAAGAAGGCCUUCGGGUUGUAAAGUACUUUCAGCGGGGAGGAAGGGAGUAAAGUUAAUACCUUUGCUCAUUGACGUUACCCGCAGAAGAAGCACCGGCUAACUCCGUG
rnacentral:rRNA from 1 species